rnacentral:rRNA from 1 species
ACUCAAAGGAAUAGACGGGGGCCCGCACAAGCGGUGGAGCAUGUGGUUUAAUUCGAUGCAACGCGAAGAACCUUACCAAGGUUUGACAUCCCGAGAAGCCGGUGGAAACACUGGUGUGCCGCAAGGAACUCGGUGACAGGUGGUGCAUGGCUGUCGUCAGCUCGUGUCGUGAGAUGUUGGGUUAAGUCCCGCAACGAGCGCAACCCUCGAUGCUAGUUGCCAACGGGUAAAGCCGGGCACUCUAGCGUGACUGCCGGUGACAAACCGGAGGAAGGUGGGGAUGACGUCAAGUCAUCAUGCCCCUUAUGCCUUGGGCUACACACGUGCUACAAUGGCCGGGACAGUAGGUUGCAAUGCCGCGAGGUGGAGCCAAUCCCUAAACCCGGUCUCAGUUCGGAUUGCAGGCUGCAACUCGCCUGCAUGAAGGCGGAAUCGCUAGUAACCGCAGGUCAGCAUACUGCGGUGAAUACGUUCCCGGGCCUUGUACACACCGCCCGU